rnacentral:rRNA from 1 species
AGCGAACGCUGGCGGCAGGCCUAACACAUGCAAGUCGAACGAACUCUUCGGAGUUAGUGGCGGACGGGUGAGUAACACGUGGGAACGUGCCUUUUGGUUCGGAAUAACUCAUGGAAACUUGUGCUAAUACCGAAUGUGCCCUUCGGGGGAAAGAUUUAUCGCCAUUAGAGCGGCCCGCGUCUGUUUAGCUAGUUGGUGAGGUAACGGCUCACCAAGGCGACGAUCAGUAGCUGGUCUGAGAGGAUGGCCAGCCACACUGGGACUGAGACACGGCCCAGACUCCUACGGGAGGGAGCAGUGGGGAAUCGUGCGCAAUGGGCGAAAGCCUGACGCAGCCAUGCCGCGUGAAUGAUGAAGGUCUUAGGAUUGUAAAAUUCUUUCACCGGGGACGAUAAUGACGGUACCCGGAGAAGAAGCCCCGGCUAACUUCGUG